rnacentral:rRNA from 1 species
UUGGUUAAGCUAAUAAGAGCACACGGAGGAUGCCUAGGCGCCAGGAGCCGACGAAGGACGUGGCGAACAACGAAACUGCCUCGGGGAGCUGUAAGCAAGCUUUGAUCCGGGGGUGUCCGAAUGGGGAAACCCAGCUGUGGUAAUUCGCAGUUACUCAUUUCUGAAUACAUAGGAAAUGUAGAGGCAGACCAGGGGAACUGAAACAUCUAAGUACCCUGAGGAAGAGAAAACAAUAGUGAUUCCGUCAGUAGCGGCGAGCGAACGCGGAACAGCCUAAACCAAGGGGCUUGCCCCUUGGGGUUGUGGGACGUCUCACAUGGAGUUACAAAGGAAUAUGGUAGGCGAAGAGGUCUGGAAAGGCCCGCGAUAGAGGUAAAAGCCCUGUAGCCUAAACUGUGUUCUCUCCGAGACGGAUCCCGAGUAGUGCGGGGCACGUGAAACCCCGUAUGAAUCCAGCAGGACCAUCUGCUAAGGCUAAAUACUACCUGGCGACCGAUAGUGAAACAGUACCGUGAGGGAAAGGUGAAAAGCACCCCGGAAGGGGAGUGAAAUAGAACCUGAAACCGUGUGCUUACAAAAAGUCAGAGCCCUAUUACUGGGUGAUGGCGUGCCUUUUGUAGAAUGAACCGGCGAGUUACGUUUAACAUGCAAGGUUAAGUCGAGAAGACGGAGCCGCAGCGAAAGCGAGUCUGAAUAGGGCGAAUGAGUAUGUGGACGUAGACCCGAAACCGUGUGAUCUACCCCUGUCCAGGGUGAAGGUGCGGUAACACGCACUGGAGGCCCGAACCCACGCAUGUUGAAAAAUGCGGGGAUGAGGUGGGGGUAGCGGAGAAAUUCCAAUCGAACUCGGAGAUAGCUGGUUCUCCCCGAAAUAGCUUUAGGGCUAGCCUCGGUGAAUGGAGUGGUGGAGGUAGAGCACUGAUUGGGUGCGGGGCCCGCAAGGGUUACCAAGCUCAGUCAAACUCCGAAUGCCAUUAACUUCUUGCCGGGAGUCAGACAGUGAGUGCUAAGAUCCAUUGUCAAAAGGGAAACAGCCCAGACCAUCAGCUAAGGUCCCCAAGUGUGUGUUAAGUGGGAAAGGAUGUGGAGUUGCACAGACAACCAGGAUGUUGGCUUAGAAGCAGCCACCAUUGAAAGAGUGCGUAAUAGCUCACUGGUCGAGUGACUCUGCGCCGAAAAUGUAACGGGGCUAAACACACCACCGAAGCUAUGGCUAGAUACUUUGUAUCUGGGGUAGGGGAGCGUUGUAUGUAGGUUGAAGGUGUACCGUAAGGAGCGCUGGACAGCAUACAAGUGAGAAUGCCGGUAUGAGUAACGAAAAGAUCAGUGAGAAUCUGAUCCGCCGAAAGCCCAAGGUUUCCUGAGGAAGGCUCGUCCGCUCAGGGUAAGUCGGGACCUAAGGCGAGGCCGAAAGGCGUAGUCGAAGGACAACAGUUUGAAAUUACUGUACCACCGUAAUCCGCUAUGAGCGAUGGGGUGACGCAGGAGGGUAGUGACGCGGACUGAUGGAUAUGUCCGUCUAAGCAGUGAGGCUGAUGUGUAGGCAAAUCCGCACAUCAAUAAGGCUGGGCUGUGAUGGGGAGCGAAAAUUGUAGUAGCGAAGGUCAUGAUCUCACACUGCCAAGAAAAGCCUCUAGCCAGGAGAAGGUGCCCGUACCGCAAACCGACACAGGUAGGCGAGAAGAGAAUUCUAAGGCGCGCGGAAGAACUCUCGUUAAGGAACUCGGCAAAAUGACCUCGUAACUUCGGGAGAAGAGGUGCCUCGGUAGGGUGAAUAGCCCGAGGGGGCCGCAGUGAAAAGGCCCAAGCGACUGUUUAGCAAAAACACAGGUCUGUGCGAAGCCGCAAGGCGAAGUAUACGGGCUGACGCCUGCCCGGUGCUGGAAGGUUAAGGGGAGUGGUUAGGGGCAACCCGAAGCUGUGAACCGAAGCCCCAGUAAACGGCGGCCGUAACUAUAACGGUCCUAAGGUAGCGAAAUUCCUUGUCAGGUAAAUUCUGACCCGCACGAAUGGCGUAACGACUUGGGCGCUGUCUCAACGAGAGAUCCGGUGAAAUUUUAAUACCUGUGAAGAUGCAGGUUACCCGCGACAAGACGGAAAGACCCCAUGGAGCUUUACUGCAGCUUGAUAUUGAAUUUGGGUACGAUCUGUACAGGAUAGGUGGGAGCCGUAGAGGCAGGAGCGCAAGCUUCUGCGGAGGCGCCGUUGGGAUACCACCCUGAUCGUAUCUAGGUUCUAACCUAGUACCCUAAGCGGGUACGGGGACCGUGUCAGGCGGGCAGUUUGACUGGGGCGGUCGCCUCCUAAAGAGUAACGGAGGCGUUCAAAGGUUCCCUCAGAAUGGUUGGAAAUCAUUCGCAGAGUGCAAAGGCAUAAGGGAGCUUGACUGCGAGACCUACAAGUCGAGCAGGGACGAAAGUCGGACUUAGUGAUCCGGUGGUACCGCAUGGAAGGGCCAUCGCUCAACGGAUAAAAGCUACCCUGGGGAUAACAGGCUUAUCUCCCCCAAGAGUCCACAUCGACGGGGAGGUUUGGCACCUCGAUGUCGGCUCAUCGCAUCCUGGGGCUGAAGUAGGUCCCAAGGGUUGGGCUGUUCGCCCAUUAAAGCGGUACGCGAGCUGGGUUCAGAACGUCGUGAGACAGUUCGGUCCCUAUCUGUCGUGGGCGCAGGAAAUUUGAGAGGAGCUGUCCUUAGUACGAGAGGACCGGGAUGGACGUACCGCUGGUGCAUCAGUUGUUCCGCCAGGAGCAUGGCUGAGUAGCUACGUACGGACGGGAUAAGCGCUGAAAGCAUCUAAGCGUGAAGCCCCCCUCAAGAUGAGAUUUCCCAACUAGUAAGACCCCUUGAAGACGACGAGGUAGAUAGGUUGGAGGUGGAAGUGCAGCAAUGCAUGGAGCUGACCAAUACUAAUCGGUCGAGGGCUUAUCCAAAUU